UUUGUGUAUAUACUGUAUCUCUGUAUAUCUUUCCAAAUUCCAUCUUGCCUUACCAUAUAUUUUUAAAAGAACGAUUGUUUUGUGAGUUAUCCGUGUACUUGUGUUAUGUUGUCACUGACCAUGAGUAUAUAACAAUUUGUUGGACAAAACUAUUCUUGUGGUUUGUGCCAAGGUUGGGCACCAUCUUAAAAUAUAAAAUGAUAACGUUGCCAAACAUUUUUAUGUUGAAGGACCAACAAGAAAGGAUUUCUUCCGGCAGCAUAACAAAGAACCCAUUGGGUGGAUGCAAUACCCAAAUGCAUUUUUCACUAAAUCUUUUUAAUUAACUAAUUACAGUGGCAGAGCUAGAUGGGGGGAUAGCUCGAGAGGCAAAGGGCCAAUACAUUAAUUCCUGAGCGGUCCAAAAACUAUAAUUUGUUGAACUAAGCACCCCAAGAGAUUUUUUAUUCACCCAUUUUGUCAAGGUUGGGGGUUUAAUGAGAUCAAGCACUCCGUCCUCUGCCAGGUCGCCGCUGCCGCCGGGGACAUGGACGUGCACGUGGGUCCGUCAGUCGCUGGCAAACGAGGUCGCGUCCGCGCGGAGCACCGCUCUCCUCCCUGCUGCCAGCGACGCCCUCCUGUCUCCUCUGCACCAGUCUACUCCUUGAUAUUAUUUACAAAAGAAAAUGAUUGGGUGAAGAGUUGAAGGCCUGAAACCAAAUGUUCCUAAUCAGGAAGUUGACCCGCACAACUCCUCUGAAACAAGGCCAACCCUAUGUGCAAAGAUUUAAAGAUCGUAAAUAUGUUUAAUGUGGUCCAAUAUCGUAUAGCACUAUAUUGCUUCAUGCAGACCCUUUUUAUCAUUCAUUUUUAUUAUUUAAAUCUCUAUAUGGCCGUCAUAGAUGCUGCUAUUACAUGGAUUUAUUACUAUUUUUCAUGUGUUCUUGUAAAUAGAACUCACUCAUAUAUUUAUUUGUCUACGGAGAGAGUAGUAUAAAGUAAGCUUCAUUUACAUGGAAGUUAAUUAAUCUCAAUAUG